rfam:Macaca fascicularis chromosome 2, whole genome shotgun sequence.
GUUAAUGUAGCUUAACUACUAAAGCAAGGCACUGAAAAUGCUUAGAAGAGUUCACGUAACUCUAUAAACA